ACAGGCGAAGCUGGCGGGGGAGCGUGGAGCCCGUGCGAUCCUUUUCGACAUUACUGACGAUGAAAGUGCUGCUGAUCAGCUGAGGAAGCCCAGAGGCCUGAGCCAGCCCGUGGUUCUGAUCAGGGGCCACGACGCCGAGCAGCUCAUGAGCGUCGUGAACAAGAACAGAGAGGCCCAUGUGAAGAUAGAGGUCAAGGAGCCACCAGCCUGGCCAGACUACGACGUGUGGAUCCUCCUCACCGUGGUCAGCACUGUGGUCGUCAUCGUUUUGAUUUUCGUUGUCCGCACAAAGUGCCAACUGAACAGGACUCAGGUAGGGACCCCCUGGAG